GGAGGAUGAUUUUAGGAAACGAAACUGAGAGUUUCCCCGUGUGCCAGGCAUUGUCCCCCGUCAUUGCAGUGUGAGACCACCAUUAUCCAGCCACACAGGAGUCACCCGCAGGAAUGGAACCCAUCAUUUCGCAGCCAGGAAUGGUCACCACUCAGACUGUGACCGUGGCGCAGGGGCCGCGCUGGAGCAGCGACCUGUGCGACUGCUGUGAAGACUGCGGGAUAUGUUGCUGUGCCCUGUGGUGUUUCCCCUAUAUCAUUA